rnacentral:rRNA from 1 species
GACGAACGCUGGCGGCGUGCCUAAUACAUGCAAGUCGAACGCUUACGCGAUGAGCUUGCUCUUCUUGGAUGAGUUGCGAACGGGUGAGUAACGCGUAGGUAACCUGCCUUGUAUCCGGGGAUAACUAUUGGAAACGAUAGCUAAUACCGCAUCACAAUGGAUGACACUUGUCGUUUAUGUGAAACGGGCCUUUGCUCCACUACAAGACGGACCUGCGUUGUAUUAGCUAGUAGGUGAGGUAAUGGCUCACCUAGGGGACGGUACAUAGCCGGGCUGAGUGGGUGAUCGGCCUCACUGGGACUGAGACAAGGCCCAGACUCCUACGGGAAGGAGCAGUAGGGGAACUUCGGAAAUGGGGGCAACCCUGAACGAGCAACGCCGCGGGAGUGAAGGAGGGUGUCGGGUCGGAAAGCUCUGUUUUUAGUCAAGAAAGGGUGUGAGAGUGGAAAGUUCACAUUGUGACGGUAGCUUAACAGAAAGGGACGGCUAACUACGUG